rnacentral:rRNA from 1 species
UACGUAGGGCGCAAGCGUUAUCCGGAAUUAUUGGGCGUAAAGAGCUCGUAGGCGGUUUGUCGCGUCUGCCGUGAAAGUCCGGGGCUCAACUCCGGAUCUGCGGUGGGUACGGGCAGACUAGAGUGAUGUAGGGGAGACUGGAAUUCCUGGUGUAGCGGUGAAAUGCGCAGAUAUCAGGAGGAACACCGGUGGCGAAGGCGGGUCUCUGGUCCGGUACUGACGCUGAGGUGCGAAAGCGUGGGGAGCAAACAGG